UAACUCCGGUUUCUCUUCACAACGAGUAAAUCUUUCGCCUUUUACUAAAGAUUUCCGUGGAGAGGAGCAAAAUAAUGAGUCUAAUACUCUAUUUUUCAAACCCUACAAGUAGGGU